rnacentral:SRP_RNA from 1 species
GCUGGGCAUGGUGGCGUGUGCCUGUAAUCCCAGCUACUCAGGAGGCUGAGGCAGGAGAAUUGCCUGAACUCAGGAGGCGGAGGAUGCGGUGAGCCGAGAUCGCUCCAUUGCACUCCAGCCUGGGUAACAAGAGCAAAACUCUGUCUCAAAAAAAAAAAAAAAAAGACAGUCUUGCUCUGCUGCCCAGGCUGGAGUGCAGUGGAAUGAUCUCGGCUCACUGCAACCUCUGCCUUCUGGGUUCAAGUGAUUCUCCUGCCUCAG